UACGUAGGGGGCGAGCGUUGUCCGGAGUUACUGGAGCGUAAAGCGCACGCAGGCGGUCUGCUAAGUUUGGAGUGACAGUUGGUGGCUUAACUGCCAAAGUGCUUCGAAACUGACAGACUUGAGGGCUUCAGAGGGACACGGAAUUCCGGGUGGAGUGGUGAAAUGCGUAGAGAUCCGGAGGAACACCAAAGGCGAAGGCAGUGUCCUGGGGAGUACCUGACGCUCAGGUGCGAAAGCCAGGGGAGCGAACGGG
rnacentral:rRNA from 1 species